rnacentral:rRNA from 1 species
AGCGAACGCUGGCGGCAGGCCUAACACAUGCAAGCCGAACGAAGCCUUCGGGCUUAGUGGCGGACGGGUGAGUAACGCGUGGGAACGUGCCCUUUGGUUCGGAAUAGCCCCGGGAAACUGGGAGUAAUACCGGAUAAGCCCUACGGGGGAAAGAUUUAUCGCCAAAGGAUCGGCCCGCGUUGGAUUAGGUAGUUGGUGGGGUAAUGGCCUACCAAGCCGACGAUCCAUAGCUGGUUUGAGAGGAUGAUCAGCCACACUGGGACUGAGACACGGCCCAGACUCCUACGGGAGGCAGCAGUGGGGAAUCUUAGACAAUGGGGGAAACCCUGAUCUAGCCAUGCCGCGUGAUCGAUGAAGGCCUUAGGGUUGUAAAGAUCUUUCAGCUGGGAAGAUAAUGACUGUACCAGCAGAAGAAGCCCCGGCUAACUCCGUGCCAGCAGCCGCGGUAAUACGGAGGGGGCUAGCGUUGUUCGGAAUUACUGGGCGUAAAGCGCACGUAGGCGGAACAGAAAGUCAGAGGUGAAAUCCCAGGGCUCAACCUUGGAACUGCCUUUGAAACUCCUGUUCUUGAGGUCGAGAGAGGUGAGUGGAAUUCCGAGUGUAGAGGUGAAAUUCGU